UACGUAGGUGGCAAGCGUUGUCCGGAUUUACUGGGCGUAAAGAGCGCGCAGGCGGUCGUCCAAGUCGCGUGUGAAAGCCCCCCGGCUCAACUGGGGAGGGUCACGCGAUACUGAUCGACUCGAAGGCAGGAGAGGGUAGUGGAAUUCCCGGUGUAGUGGUGAAAUGCGUAGAUAUCGGAGGAACACCAGUCGGCGAAGGCGACUCUCGAGCCUGGUUCCUUGACGCUG
rnacentral:rRNA from 1 species